AGUGAACGCUGGCGGUAGGCCUAACACAUGCAAGUCGAACGGUAGCACAGGAGAGCUUGCUCUCUGGGUGGCGAGUGGCGGACGGGUGAGGAAUACAUCGGAAUCUACUCUGUCGUGGGGGAUAACGUAGGGAAACUUACGCUAAUACCGCAUACGACCUACGGGUGAAAGCAGGGGACCUUCGGGCCUUGCGCGAUUGAAUGAGCCGAUGUCGGAUUAGCUAGUUGGCGGGGUAAAGGCCCACCAAGGCGACGAUCCGUAGCUGGUCUGAAAGGAUGAUCAGCCACACUGGAACUGAGACACGGUCCAGACUCCUACGGGAGGCAGCAGUGGGGAAUAUUGGACAAUGGGCGCAAGCCUGAUCCAGCCAUACCGCGUGGGUGAAGAAGGCCUUCGGGUUGUAAAGCCCUUUUGUUGGGAAAGAAAUCCAGCUGGCUAAUACCCGGUUGGGAUGACGGUACCCAAAGAAUAAGCACCGGCUAACUUCGUGCCAGCCGCCGCGGUAA
rnacentral:rRNA from 1 species